AGUGAACGCUGGCGGUAGGCCUAACACAUGCAAGUCGAACGGCAGCACAGUAAGAGCUUGCUCUUACGGGUGGCGAGUGGCGGACGGGUGAGGAAUACAUCGGAAUCUACUUUUUCGUGGGGGAUAACGUAUGGAAACUUACGCUAAUACCGCAUACGACCUACGGGUGAAAGCAGGGGAUCUUCGUACCUUGCGCGAUUGAAUGAGCCGAUGUCGGAUUAGCUAGUUGGCGGGGUAAAGGCCCACCAAGGCGACGAUCCGUAGCUGGUCUGAGAGGAUGAUCAGCCACACUGGAACUGAGACACGGUCCAGACUCCUACGGGAGGCAGCAGUGGGGAAUAUUGGACAAUGGGCGAAAGCCUGAUCCAGCCAUACCGCGUGGGUGAAGAAGGCCUUCGGGUUGUAAAGCCCUUUUGUUGGGAAAGAAAAGCAGCAGGUUAAUACCCCGCUGUUCUGACGGUACCCAAAGAAUAAGCACCGGCUAACUUCGUG
rnacentral:rRNA from 1 species